CUACGGGCGGCUGCAGUGGGGAAUAUUGCACAAUGGAGGAAACUCUGAUGCAGCAACGCCGCGUGGAGGAUGACACUUUUCGGAGCGUAAACUCCUUUUAUAUAGGAAGAAGAUGAUGGUACUAUAUGAAUAAGCGCCGGCUAACUCCGUGCCAGCAGCCGCGGUAAUACGGAGGGCGCAAGCGUUACUCGGAAUCACUGGGCGUAAAGAGCGUGUAGGCGGAUUAAAAAGUCAGAAGUGAAAUCCUAUAGCUUAACUAUAGAACUGCUUCUGAAACUCUUAAUCUAGAAUAUGGGAGAGGUAGAUGGAAUUUCUGGUGUAGGGGUAAAAUCCGUAGAGAUCAGAAGGAAUACCGAUUGCGAAGGCGAUCUACUAGAACAUUAUUGACGCUGAGACGCGAAAGCGUAGGGAGCAAACAGGAUUAGAUACCCGCGUAGUC
rnacentral:rRNA from 1 species